GGAGGGAUGCCCGAGUGGUUAAAGGGGACGGGCUGUAAACCCGUUGGCUAUGCCUACGUUGGUUCAAAUCCAACUCCCUCCA
rnacentral:tRNA from 1 species